UACGGGGGGGGCAAGCGUUGUUCGGAAUUACUGGGCGUAAAGGGCUCGUAGGUGGCCAACUAAGUCAGACGUGAAAUCCCUCGGCUUAACCGGGGAACUGCGUCUGAUACUGGAUGGCUUGAGUUCGGGAGAGGGAGUGCGGAAUUCCAGGUGUAGCGGUGAAAUGCGUAGAUAUCUGGAGGAACACCGGUGGCGAAGGCGGGUUGCUGGGCUGACACUGACGCUGAAGCGCGAAAGCUAGGGGAGCGAACGGG
rnacentral:rRNA from 1 species